CGUUGUUCGGAAUUACUGGGCGUAAAGGGCUCGUAGGCGGCCAACUAAGUCGGACGUGAAAUCCCCAGGCUCAACCUGGGAACUGCGUCCGAUACUGGAUGGCUUGAAUCCGGGAGAGGGAUGCAGAAUUCCAGGUGUAGCGGUGAAAUGCGUAGAUAUCUGGAGGAAUACCGGUGGCGAAGGCGGCAUCCUGGACCGGCAUUGACGCUGAGGAGCGAAAGCCAGGGGAGCAAACGGG
rnacentral:rRNA from 1 species